rnacentral:rRNA from 1 species
CUCCUACGGGAGGCAGCAGUGGGGAAUCUUGCACAAUGGACGAAAGUCUGAUGCAGCAACGCCGCGUGGGGGAUGAAGCUUCUCGGAGUGUAAACCCCUUUCGACCCGGAAGAAUGCCCGCAAGGGUUUGACGGUACGGGUAUAAGAAGCCCGGCUAACUACUUGCCAGCGCCGCGGUAAUAC